GCGAGGCACAUGAAAUUGAACGACGGGUGUGGCGCGUGUUGAACCAGGCAUUUGACUUUGUGGUCUGGAUGGGGGAAUAUCAUCAUCGGGUUUCGGGCUUGUGACAAACCAUUUCCGAACCCCCAGAAACGAAGCCACCAAGAUAAAGAUACGCGCCAAACGACAGGCAGGCCAAAUUACUCGGCGUUUCGGCAGCGGAGAACAAGAUCCCAAAACUCGGGACCCACCACCACCACAAGUACAUACACACGCACACCGACGCGAAACGAGAAUUUCGUUUUUUUUUUUUUGGGAACGACGCACAAAAUCAAAGAGUAUUCCAGCUAGCCGCUUCAGUUGGUGAGCAAC
ensembl:ncRNA lncRNA:CR45717 long non-coding RNA:CR45717